rnacentral:ncRNA from 1 species
GUCCGUGGGACUCCCGUGGGUCGUGGUCGUCGCAAGAGGGAACCCGGUGAGAACCCGGGACUGCCCCGCAGCGGUGAACGGGAACGACCGUCGCACUCAUGGCACUGCGCCCCCGGGCGUGGGAAGCCGCGACCAGUAGGUCCGUCCGGAGAACUCUCCGGACCUCGCCCGUGAGUCCGAAGACCUGCCAGUGCACGGACGGCCCG